ACUUAUUUAAUGUGUAGGUGCCCAACUGUAUGUAUAUACACCAUGUGUGUGCAUGAGCCUGCAGAAGUCAGAAAAGGACUUUGGAUCCCCAGGAAAUGGAGCUGCAUAUGGCUGUGACCCACUACAUGGCUGCUAAGAAUCCAACCCAGAUCCUCUGGAAGAAUAAAGCAAUUUCCUGGAUGAUCCCUCUCCCCAGCUGCUACACCUCUGAGGAUCCCCAGUGUGCCCAAAGGAACAGACCUGCCCACUUCUGAAGCAGCUGGAGACCCAGCAGGAGCUCACAGUGCAGACCACUUCUCAAUGCACAGACAGACAAGUCUCACCAGCCCAGUACAUUUCCAUGGAGACUAACCAUCUGCGUAUCAAUCAAGAAAGAUAAUGCCUCGGCACAGCAAAAUGGUUUAGUGGGUAAAAGGUGCUUAUGGACAAGCUUGAUGUCCUGAGUUUGAUCCUUGGUGAAGGAGAGAACAAAGUCCUACAAGUUGUCCUCCUCCACAUACAUGUGGUGGCAUGCACAUACCAACACCCCACCCC